rnacentral:rRNA from 1 species
UACGGGGGGGAGCAAGCGUUUGUUCGGAUUUACUGGGCGUAAAGGGCGCGUAGGCGGCCACCGCAAGUCGACUGUGAAAUCUCCGGGCUUAACCCGGAAAGGUCAGCCGAUACUGCGGAGGCUAGAGUGCAGGAAGGGGGCAACUGGAAUUCUCGGUGUAGCGGUGAAAUGCGUAGAUAUCGAGAGGAACACCUGCGGCGAAGGCGGGUUGCUGGGCCGACACUGACGCUGGAAGUGCGAAAGCUAGGGGGAGCGAACGGGG